CUGCUGCUGCUGCUGCCGCCGCCGCCGUCGCCGCCGCCGACGCCGCUGCUGCAGCUCGAGCAUCCGGGAGCCGCCGCCGCCGCCGCCGCUACCGCCUCUAGCGCCGCUGCCACCGCUGCCACCUUCUCUCCCAGAACCCCGAGACACCCCGAGCACGAGCGGCAGCUGCUGCAUGCUUGCUCCCCCCUUCCCCGCCCCUCCCUUCCGUGACCUACCCAAUCCUUGCAGCCCUCGUCCGCACCUUCUCCGACACCCCGGCGUCCCUGCACCACCUGCUCGGACAGCCCCAGCGGGCGCCGAGACUUGCUGUGCGCGCUGAGAGCAAGGCAAGCUCCGAACCCAUUCCUGGCAGACUGACUGUUGCGGCUGCACCACAAGCAGGAGAAGGAAGAGAAGAAACUACUCUGCUCACCGAAACCCCAUUCUGCGGGUGCUUCGCCGUUGCCGCUUCUGCUGCUGCAAAUCCGCGUCCGCGGGUUCGAACACCGCAGCGGCGGGGACCCUGGGUCUGGUGGUUUCCGUGAGGAAGACACCCGCGGAGCCCUGCGCUCUGGUGUCCCGCUCACCAGCAUCUCUUUGACCCCCUCGUUCAUUCCCCAACCCUUUAGAGAAGGGACCAUGCUUUGGAAACGCAGCGCCGUUCUCCGCUUCUACAGUGUCUGCGGUCCGGCUAUUUCCAACCCCUCCCCCUACUCCCCGGUGCGGCAGGGGGCAGUGGCAGUUUGCUCCAGCCCUUCCAAUCUCUAGCGCUGGCUCAACCCUGCUCUCCCAGCAGUCAGCCCCUUAGGGGCACCUUUCGCCUUUUCAUUCACCUGAUCUUCCUACAUCUCUCACUCUCCAUCCUCACCAGCAACACCCCCCCCAACACACACACACACACACACACACACACACACACACACACACACACUCCCACGCCUUUUGGCUGGCAACUUGUGCCUUCUCUGAACAUUCCAUCCUCCCACCAACCCCCACCAGCCACCUCCCACAUCACUCUCCUGACCGACCCUCUCCAUCUCUUGUCAUCUCUUUAACCUCUCCCUCUUCGGGUCGCCUUUCUCUUUCCCUUUCUUCCUACCAUCAUCAUAUCCGUGUGUCUUUAAAAAGUGUGUGAGAGCCUGGGAGCGAGCUACGGAGGGCGAGAACAGCAGCAGCGGCAGCACAGUGUGCAUUGCAAUAACAUCCCCGGGGGGGAAAUGUGUUGUGAGACGUGUCAUUCACCUAGGAAGAGGAGACUGUCUGGGGUUAAAAAAAGAAAAAUUAAAAAGAGAGGGAGAGCGAGAGAGAGCUGAGAGAGAAAAGAAAAAGGAAGAAAGAAAAAAAGAGUAAAAGGAAAAAGAAGGAAAAUAAAUAAACCAAGAUAUAAGAAGAGAGGGCCAGGGGGAGGGAAAAAUUAAGAGACUUAAAGCCACUUUAUCAACAAACUGACUUUUUAAAUUAUUAUUCAGUCUGUAAGAUUUUCCCUUUCUCUUUUUCUUUCUUUUCUUUUCUUUUUCUUUUUCUUUUUUUUUUUUUAAGCCAAGAAAUACAUGCAUCCUAGUAGUUACUUUACUGCUAAGGGAUUUUUCGCUUAGAUUUCCUACUCUCCAUCUGCUCUCUGCCGCUUCUAUCCGUAAUUAAUAUUAUCCUUUCACGUGAAAUGUGAGAACCCCUGUGACCGCAGUGGAGGGAAACCGCACAAAACACUGUUAUUAUGCAAAUCACUGGGUUAGGAUGCAGACUGGCUAGGGAACUGGGGUGCACUUUUCCCCAGACCCUCUCUUUAGGAGGAGAGAGGAGGGGGCUGUGUGGAAUGGGAGAACGAUGCUGAUUAUAUGAAAUAACGGCAAUGUGUGGAGUAGGAAUGCAAAGGGAGAGCACACUUUGGGUGGUGGAGGCAGAGGCAUCAUGCUAGGGCUGAGUGGGCAGGGGCUGUAAGGUGGAAGAUUGUUGCUUUAAAAAGAGUAGUGUAGGGAUAUGGUUUGAGUGUGAGAUACAGGCAGGAUGGAUGUGAAAUGACGGUCCAUAUGAUUUUUUUAAGCUAGGUGAGUCUUGAUUUCUUGAUAAAUCUUUGACCACCUCUAACUCAUCUGUAAUCAUUUGUAUAUUUGUGUUGUGGGAAAGAUAAGUUGGUCAAAUUUAUUUGAACCUCGGUAAAAGGAAUCUGAAAGUAAGAGACAUGUAGAACCACAGGCGUGCAAAACCCAAUCGGCCUUUGGAGGAUUUAAAUGAGGUCAAUGAACCAUCUUUCAGCAAGUUCUUGGAAUGCAUUCUCUCUCCUAUCCUCCUCUGGGAUAUAGACCAGGACUGUGUUUUAUUUAUGAAUAUUUAUGAAUGUGAAAAAGAGAUAGUGGACAGAAUUUUCCUGAAUUAACUAACUAAACUUGCAGAGAUUCUUAGAAUAUUUUGUAGUAGUUUUGUGUAUUUUACGUUUGAUGUAAAUUUUAGAUAUGUCAUGUGCCAGAAUCCCCGAGAAGGCAGACAACCCAUUCUUUCUGCUUACACCUCCUGGUCCUAUUUCCCACCGCUUACACCCCCACCCUCAGGCAAGUAACCCAGUGGCUGACACAUUACUUGGGUUUCUAAUCUGUGCUGAAACAUCCUCCCAGAGACCCCACUUCACCUCUCAGUAACUUGCAAUUCUCAGCUCCGCUGUGUGUGUGUGUGUGUGUGUGUGUGUGUGUCCGUCAGUGUGCGCGCACCCGCGCACUGGCGUGCACCACGCCGGGUAAGGGAAAUGUGAUGUGGGGAAAUCAGUUAAUUUGGUGAUUGCGAUGAAAAUUCGACACCGCUGGAUGUGUUUUCCAUGCCAGCCUGUGUUGCUGGCCUCCGCACGUCACUGCACACACUGCUGGGCUGGUGCGAGAAGAUUAUUUAUUAUAGAGCAUGUGGGCAAUGGACUGCACUUGGGGGUCGCUCCUCUCUGCCUUCAACAUUUCCCUGUGAAUUGUCUAUUCAGUGCACUGCAAAAUAACUGUCUGCUGGUGCCUCUCUCUCUCCCUCAGACUGGAGGAGGAUUUACUCUUUCUCUACCAGGAGAGAUUCCAUCAGCUGCAUUCUUUUUUAUUAAAUACAUGUAAACCCUUAAGUAUGUAAUAUACGAUUAAGACAGUGCUGCUUUUCACAGCAGAUUGGUGGGGGUGUGUGGAAGGGGUGUGGGUAUACCAGAGAAAAUGGACCACUGCAACUAUAAGCACCAGCAUCAGACCCAAAUAAAUAAGUGUCCUAAACAGCAAUCAGGAAAGAGUACCAGCUCAAGGAUAUAUGUGUACUUCUGAGUAUCUUGAUUAGGCCAUAUUAAUAUAC
rnacentral:lncRNA from 1 species